CGACAAACGGCUCAGGCUUCUUGAUCAGCUUCAACCAUAACUCAACGGACUUCACUAUCUCCUCUAAAAGCACAGCCAUAGGCAAUUAAACCCUCCUUCUGUACGUGAAAUUGGAACCCAAGAAGGACGAUCUGAGGCGAGAAAUCUGGUCAACGAAUCCCCAAAACUUAGAAGACGAAGACGGCGACGGCGGGGAGGAGAAAGAGG
rnacentral:misc_RNA from 1 species